rnacentral:lncRNA from 1 species
ACCUAAUCCACGCUAAACUAACCUCCAAUUGCCGUCAUUCACAUAGCCAACAAGAUCCUCUCGCAAUCAUGUUAAGCCGGGCUGUCUAAACUCCCUUCGUGUUCUCACCGACAACGCAUUAUCCGUCCCUCUUACGAGCGAGAACGCGUGUGCCAGCGUCGUGGAGGCGUCGCGUCGCAAAUACAGAGAUCGCGCGGUUAUUAAUAACGUUAUUAAUCGCGAAGGCUCGUGCAAGUGGUGCGAAAUUCGAGAAAUCAAAGCACGGUUAUUACUCAAGCCGUGGCCGACAAUACCAGGCUGCUUUAUUCCAGCCGGAUAUGUAGGUUACCAGCGAGCCUAACAGAAGUGGCGGACAAUGAGAAGCGAGAGGAUGAUCCAAGACUGAGAGAAAAAUAGCGCACGCGAGAGCGAGACGCUCCCCUUUUCGGUGGCCCAUCGAGAAAGAGGCAGUGGACGAGGAGAGAAGAGAAGAGACGCAACGGGAAUCGUAAGCGAGAGACGCUUUGCUUGAGACGUACGGUACAAAAGAGGAGCGGAAAGCAAAGCUACGGCCACCUUUACAGACAGCCUUCGUAUAAACAUGUCAGUCCGCCGAGGCUCGUCUCGAGAAACGGGCCCGCGUUCAUCCAUCACUUCGUCCCCCUGACUUCCUUCGUCUAGCCUUCCUCUACGAUACGUCGUCCGCCCCCUCUUCCCUCCUCUAUUGCUUUUCGUUGUGCCGUUGCUCACAAUUCGCCGCUAUUUUUCUCGCGACUCGUACUCGAAAGCAAAAAAAUAUCUUUCAAAUGGCAAACCGCUGCUGAGAGGCUACGUAACGGGAAAGCUGGUCUCGCGGGCCCCCUAUUUUCGCCGGUUCCCGCCGCGAGAAUUUGUUCUGCACAUGUACCGUUAGCAACGCCGCUCAAUCUCCACAAGAUUCGACGUUUUUGCCUUUCGUUCGAGUGUGAAACGACUGCGAUGCAUUAAUGGGCAACGAUUCGGAUCAUUCGAGCGUUCGCCUUCGAGUAUUCAACUGUAGGUUAACGCUUUGUCUGCCACGCCGAAAUCACAUGUUCCGCUCAGGACGCCACGGUUUUGGCUUUCUUAAAUGGGAAAAUCGACGGCCAAUUUUAUUUGGAUCUUCGCAUCGAUUUCGUACGAAACAACGUGCUUUCGUGGAUUACGAAAAGGAUUUGAGGAAAGUGGAUAUAAAAGGACAAAAGUAUCUUGUUCACGUAUUCAUAUACCGGGUCUUGCUUAAAUUCAGCAUCUAACUAACCUAAAAAGAAUCUGUGAGAAUAGCUUGAAGAUAAUUUCAAGGUCAUCAAUUCAGUUUUGCGUGUCAAUAUCUAUUUUUUAUAUUAUGUGUAUGAUGUUUUAAGCGAUUUUAAGGCGAAUUGAAGAUAAUACAGAGUUAGUAACUUUUCAAAAUUUUCAGUAGCAAUAGAAAUAAUUUAUUAAAAAGUAAACGUUCUUAAAAAAAGUUAAAGCGUUCUGCCGGACACUAGCCAAUUUCCUUUGCAAUCAACGGCUAGAAUUGCAAAUUUUAGGUUAUGGCGUAUGACAUGACCAAUUUUUAGAGAUUCAUACUUCAUUGAAGAUCAGAAAUUAAUAGAAGGCGGCACUUUGACUGCCACGCUGGACGCCACGGG